rnacentral:rRNA from 1 species
GACGAACGCUGGCGGCGUGCCUAAUACAUGCAAGUCGAACGCAGUUGCGAACGGGUGAGUAAAGCGUAUGUAACUGCCUCAUAGCGGGGGAUAACUUUUGGAAACGAUAGCUAAUACCGACUACUGUGAGAUGGAUCUGCGUUGUAUUAGCUAGUUGGUGGGGUAAAGGCUCACCAAGGCUACGAUACAUAGCCGACCUGAGAGGGAGAACGGCCACACUGGGACUGAGGCACAGCCCAGACUCCUACGGGAGGCAGCAGGAGGGAAUCUUCGGAAAUGGACGGAAGUCUGACCGAGCAACGCCGCGGGAGUGAAGAAGGUUUUCGGAUCGUAAAGCUCUGUUGUUAGAGAAGCGGUAACUAACGAGAAAGGGACGGCUAACUACGUGCCAGCAGCCGCGGUAAUAC